UUAAAGUUUCAUAUAAUAUACCGUUCAGAGGGGACCGGCUGUCUUUCCUCGUUGUCGUGAGUCGGACACCCGUGCCGUCGCUAGAAGUUUUUCAAACUCUGCUUCUGGAUAUUGGGACGAAAGACCGCGCGAGGACGACGGAUGCGAGUCCCAUCGAAUUUUUUAUUUACACACUACCUGAACGAGACUUAAAGUUUCAUCCAGUUUGUCGUCUAUCAUCGCAUAUAUAA